AACAGCCAUUUUCCAUCAAAUGAGGUAACCAAACUAUUUUUAACAAGUCAAUGCUCAUCUAUAGAAUAACUAGAAAACACAUCCAUAAGAGACAGAAGUCCACAACAUAAAUUGACAGGCUUAAUAGACUUUUUUAAUGGCCUAAGCUUGGCCUUUUUAUUAAAAUAGGUUUUUCAAAAAGCUUUAGCCUGACUUUAGUAAACAAGACUGGUCUCGUCAGGCCCUACACAUACUCACGUGCAAUACAAUGGUUGCACACAAUUUUUUUCUAAAAGCUUAAGCUGUUAGGUCGAGUUUACAUUUACUUUUAUAUCCAAUAGAUAUUUUACAAGAAUAAAUAUAACGGAGAGUUGUAAGAAAUAAUGAAAAUGAAUUUAAAGAGAAGCAUACCUUGUGUAAUGCAUGAUCAAAAUCUUCCAACUUGCCAAAUUCCCUCUCAAAGCGUAACCAUGAAUGGCAUAUAUCCUGAAUUAUUCUGUUAUUUAGGAACAGAAAGUAUCAUCUAAUUCAAAAAGUAUUGCAUGACAAGUAAAAUAACCCAUACAUGCUGCAUUACACAUUAAGCACCCUUACAUUUAUCAUUAUCUCAAGGAAACAAUAGAAAAUCGAAUGGAAGUACUAUGACUAACUUGGAAACUUGAGCACAAUGAAAUGAUCAUUUCAUCAAUAGUUUUCUUCGUAUUCUAGAUGAAUAUACUACUGCAUUUUCCCUCAAACUAUCUACCGUAAUUUCAGCACAAGCCUUGGUAUAAUAUGGCUGCGGCUUGUGACCAUGGGCUCUCUAACUAUCUAGAAAAUCGAAUGGAAAUACUAUGACUAACUUGGAAACUUGAGCACAAUGAAAUGAUCGUUUCAUCAAUAGUUUUCUUCCUAUUUUAAUUGAAUAUACUACUGCAUUUUCCCUCAAACUAUCUACCGUUAUUUGAGCAUGAGCCUUGGUACAAUAUGGCUGCGGCUUGUGACCAUGGCUCUGUAACUAUCUAGAAAAUCGAUUGGAAAUACUAUGACUGACUUGGAAACUUGAGCACAAGGAAAUGAUCAUUUCAUCAAUAGUUUUCUUCCUAUUUUAAUUGAAUAUACUACUGCAUUUUCCCUCAAACUAUCUACCGUUAUUUGAGCACGAGCCUAGGUACAAUAUGGCUGCGGCUUGUGACCAUGGGUUUAAUUGCAAAUCAACCUUCUUCAAGGGGAAAAUAUCGUGUACAUAUUCCCUUGAAAGAUUGUCAAAAUAGAUUCAAUCUAGGCUAAGAGUGGCAAUAGACAUUCAAUUGUGCCUCCACUAUUAAUAACUUAGGUAAUAAAGAAAAUAGCAUCAUGCUGUCAAUAAAAUAAUAAGAAAAAGAAAAUACAUGCUAAAGAGCAUAGUUUUACAUUAUAAAUUUGCAUUCCCAAGAAUCAUAUUCCCCAGAAUGUUAUAUACCCAAGAGUGGUAGUGAGUGAAGGUGAAGGACUAUAUGGGGAUGGAUUGGGUCUUAUUUAGGGAGAGACCAAAUACUCUCUAACUAUCUAGAAAAUCGAAUGGAAAUACUAUGACUAACUUGGAAACUUGAGCACAAUGAAAUGAUAAUUUCAUCAAUACCUCUGAACCAGUCCCAGAAAGUCUUUUACUGUAGCAUCUCUUGUAUAUGGACCUUGCUUCAUUUAUGUUACCCAAUUCCACUUCCAUUGCUAUAUAACCAGUCCAUGUCUCCAAUAUUGAACCACUUAUCAGAAGAUAAUAUUAAAAGAAAGACAAAAGUAGUUUAGAAUUAAUUUAAUGAAAGAGAACAAAACAAAGUAUUUGAUUUAAAAUGAACUAAAUAAAAACUAUCAAAC
rnacentral:lncRNA from 1 species